rnacentral:rRNA from 1 species
CCGGAUACGAGACGGAGAGGCAUCUCUACCGUCUGGAAAGUUUUUCGGUCUGGGAUGGACUCGCGGCCUAUCAGCUUGUUGGUGAGGUAAUGGCUCACCAAGGCGACGACGGGUAGCCGGCCUGAGAGGGCGACCGGCCACACUGGGACUGAGACACGGCCCAGACUCCUACGGGAGGCAGCAGUGGGGAAUAUUGCACAAUGGGCGAAAGCCUGAUGCAGCAACGCCGCGUGAGGGAUGACGGCCUUCGGGUUGUAAACCUCUUUCAGUAGGGAAGAAGCGAAAGUGACGGUACCUACAGAAGAAGCACCGGCUAACUACGUGCCAGCAGCCCGCGGUAAUACGUAGGGUGCGAGCGUUGUCCGGAAUUAUUGGGCGUAAAGAGCUUGUAGGCGGUUUGUCGCGUCUGCCGUGAAAAUCCGAGGCUCAACCUCGGACUUGCGGUGG